GUGCAGUUAGUACAGCGGUUAGUACCCUCGCUCCCCAAACGCAAAAUGCACAUACAGGGGCUCCGCAAGGAGGUGAUCGUUCAAAGAGAUCAUGCGAGCAACCCAGGUUCGAAUCCUGGACUGCGCA